rnacentral:rRNA from 1 species
GGAGGGCGCAAGCGUUGUUCGGAAUUACUGGGCGUAAAGCGCGUGUAGGCGGUUCGGAAAGUCGGGUGUGAAAGCCCGGGGCUCAACCCCGGAAUUGCACUCGAAACUGCCGGGCUAGAGUCCCGGAGAGGAGGGCAGAAUUCCCAGUGUAGGGGUGAAAUCCGUAGAUAUUGGGAGGAAUACCAGUGGCGAAGGCGGCCCUCUGGACGGUGACUGACGCUGAGACGCGAAAGCGUGGGGAGCAAACAGGAUUAGAUACCCUGGGUAGUCCACGCCGUAAACGUUGCGCACUAGGUGUCGGGGGUAUUCACCCCCUCCGGUGCCCGACGGUAACCCCAUUAAGUGCGCCGCCUGGGGAGUACGGCCGCAAGGCUA